CCUACGGGGGGCAGCAGGCGCGAAAACUUCACACUGCAGGAAACUGUGAUGAGGGAACUCCAAGUGUGUGCACUAAGUGUACACUUUUCUUGACUUUUAAUCGGUCAUGGAAUAAGGGCUGGGAAAGACCGGUGCCAGCCGCCGCGGUAAUACCGGCAGCUCAAGUGGUCGUCGCUUUUAUUGGGCCUAAAACGUCCGUAGCCUGUUUGGUAAAUCUGUGGGUAAAUCAACCCGCUCAACGGGUUGAAUUCUGCAGAGACUGCCAGACUAGGGACCGGGAGAGGUGUGGGGUACUCGAGGGGUAGGGGUAAAAUCCUGUCAUCCUUCGAGGACCACCAGUUGCGAAGGCGCCACACUGGAACGGAUCCGACGGUCAGGGACGAAGCCUAGGGGCACGAACCGGAUUAGAUACCCGGGUAGUCCUAGGUGUAAACGCUGUGAACUUGGUGUCGGGGUUCCGUAAGGGGUCCCCGGUGCCGGAGUGAAGAUGUUAAGUUCACUGCCUGGGGAGUACGGUCGCAAGGCUGAAACUUAAAGGAAUUGGCGGGGGAGCACUGCAACGGGAGGAGCGUGCGGUUUAAUUGGAUUCAACGCCGGAAAACUCACCAGGGCCGACUGUUAGAUGAAGACCAGUGUAACGAGCUUGUCGGAUUUUCAGAGAGGUGGUGCAUGGCCGUCGUCAGUUCGUACUGUAAAGCGUUCUGUUAAGUCAGAUAACGAACGAGACCCUCAUCUCUAUUUGCAACCUGUCUCUCCGGAGGCGGCGCACUAUAGAGAGACCGCUGGUGUGAAACCAGAGGAAGGCGAGGGCAACGACAGGUCAGUAUGCCCCGAAUGUCCUGGGCUACACGCGCGCUACAAAGGACGGGACAAUGGGAAGCUAGGCCGAGAGGUCACGCUAACCCGAAACCCGUUCAUAGUUCGGAUCGAGGGCUGUAACUCGCCCUCGUGAAGCUGGAUUCCGUAGUAAUCGUGUUUCAAUAUAGCACGGUGAAUAUGCCCCUGCUCCUUGCACACACCGCCCGUC
rnacentral:rRNA from 1 species